CGAUCGCCCGGCUCCAUCAAGUGGCUGAACUUGGGCUUGCUGAAGAACUCCUGCAGUGCGAGAGGCCUGCGGAAAGAAGGCGCGACGUCAUUUGUUUCCUCGCACGUUGUGAGGUUAUAUCUGAUGUGUCUCACUGAAGCGGGGUGAAGUCCAAGCCGUAGGGUUUUUCCCAGAAGGCCAUUUUCUCGGCGUAGUAUCUGUGAGCUUGGCAAGGCACCAAGGUGAGAGCUGCGGACGAGGGCCACAUCGUGCCACCUUCCCUCAGCCAGCGGUCCCUGGCCAGCAGGACGGACUCCACCAUGAACUCAAACUAGACCGAAAAGAAAGGAGAUAAGUGUCUACAGGGGUGCUGUGUUCUCUCACCACUGCCGGUUGUGCCAGCUGAGCGCAGAACAGACUCAUGAUGCCCGUCCCGCAGCCGAGGUCCAUCACCACCUUCCUGUGCAGAGAAGUGCUGUUGUUGACGAUGACCCG